AGGAAUGGGCGGGUGCUAUACAUGCAAGUCGAACGCACAGCGAAAGGUGCUUGCACCUUUCAAGUGAGUGGCGAACGGGUGAGUAACACGUGGACAACCUGCCUCAAGGCUGGGGAUAACAUUUGGAAACAGAUGCUAAUACCGAAUGAAACUUAGUGUCGCAUGAUACGAAGUUAAAAGGCGCUUUGGCGUCACCUAGAGAUGGAUCCGCGGUGCAUUAGUUAGUUGGUGGGGUAAAGGCCUACCAAGACAAUGAUGCAUAGCCGAGUUGAGAGACUGAUCGGCCACAUUGGGACUGAGACACGGCCCAAACUCCUACGGGAGGCUGCAGUAGGGAAUCUUCCACAAUGGGCGAAAGCCUGAUGGAGCAACGCCGCGUGUGUGAUGAAGGCUUUCGGGUCGUAAAGCACUGUUGUAUGGGAAGAACAGCUAGAAUAGGGAAUGAUUUUAGUUUGACGGUACCAUACCAGAAAGGGACGGCUAAAUACGUGCCAGCAGCCGCGGUAAUACGUAUGUCCCGAGCGUUAUCCGGAUUUAUUGGGCGUAAAGCGAGCGCAGACGGUUGAUUAAGUCUGAUGUGAAAGCCCGGAGCUCAACUCCGGAAUGGCAUUGGAAACUGGUUAACUUGAGUGCAGUAGAGGUAAGUGGAACUCCAUGUGUAGCGGUGGAAUGCGUAGAUAUAUGGAAGAACACCAGUGGCGAAGGCGGCUUACUGGACUGUAACUGACGUUGAGGCUCGAAAGUGUGGGUAGCAAACAGGAUUAGAUACCCUGGUAGUCCACACCGUAAACGAUGAACACUAGGUGUUAGGAGGUUUCCGCCUCUUAGUGCCGAAGCUAACGCAUUAAGUGUUCCGCCUGGGGAGUACGACCGCAAGGUUGAAACUCAAAGGAAUUGACGGGGACCCGCACAAGCGGUGGAGCAUGUGGUUUAAUUCGAAGCAACGCGAAGAACCUUACCAGGUCUUGACAUCCUUUGAAGCUUUUAGAGAUAGAAGUGUUCUCUUCGGAGACAAAGUGACAGGUGGUGCAUGGUCGUCGUCAGCUCGUGUCGUGAGAUGUUGGGUUAAGUCCCGCAACGAGCGCAACCCUUAUUGUUAGUUGCCAGCAUUCAGAUGGGCACUCUAGCGAGACUGCCCG
rnacentral:rRNA from 1 species